CCGAAUAACCAGAUAAACGGCAACGCUUUUGCCGAAAGCGACCCUCAAAUUGGAAAAUUUAGAACGACAAAGCGACAGUCUAAAGUAAAGCGGAACAGCAAAUUAGGAGGAGCCGCCGGUCUUUCUCUUGAAGCUUUCAUUAAUGCCAAAUCCAACACCUCCUCCUGCUCCUCCUCCAAUCCUGCCCUUAUAAUUAAUGAUCUGAGAGAAUUUGAAGAUGUUGAACUUAUACUUGAGAAGCGAAGGGAGUUUUAUGAGAAUGCUAAGUACGUGAGCAAGUUUAAGAAGAAGCUGAAGCAGCAAAAUCAGCCAAAUGAGCUUUCCUCAGCUGCUGAGAUAGAAAAUGGAUAAGGCAGUAAGAUGAUAAAAAAAAAUGAGAGUGGCAGGAAUACCUUGAAAGAAUUUAUGAGAAAUGGUGUGAAGAGGAAGAGAAGGCAAGGAUUGAAAGAGAGGUGAUUCUAAAAGCAAAGAAGGAAGGAAGAGAGAAUGCUGAAUCCUGUAGAAAAGCUGCGAGGAAGAAGACGUUCAAGAAUACCUGUCAUGGUCAGCUUGUUUUGAAGUACUGGAUUGAGCAUCUCUCGCAGACAGUUCAAGGUUCCAUUGGAAAAUCAAUUAACAAAGAUUUAUAGUUUAGAACCGACAUGUAUUCCAGUUUUUCCAUGGCCACUUGUACCAUCCUUGCUCACUUGAGUAAAUAACCGGUUAAGUUUCUGAGUAAUUGGUGUUAUUGCUUGAGAUGUUGCAUUUUGGAUUGGUGGAAGAGCUUUGAUAGUGUAAUGAAAAACAAUUUUGACGUUCA